GACGAACGCUGGCGGCGUGCUUAACACAUGCAAGUCGAACGGAAAGGCCCUGCUUUUGUGGGGUGCUCGAGUGGCGAACGGGUGAGUAACACGUGAGUAACCUGCCCUUGACUUUGGGAUAACUUCAGGAAACUGGGGCUAAUACCGGAUAGGAGCUCCUGCUGCAUGGUGGGGGUUGGAAAGUUUCGGCGGUUGGGGAUGGACUCGCGGCUUAUCAGCUUGUUGGUGGGGUAGUGGCUUACCAAGGCUUUGACGGGUAGCCGGCCUGGGAGGGUGACCGGCCCCAUUGGGGCUGUGAUGCGGCCCAGACUCCUACGGGAGGCAGCAGUGGGGAAUAUUGCACAAUGGGCGGAAGCCUGAUGCAGCAACGCCGCGUGCUGGAUGACGGCCUUCGGGUUGUAAACCGCUUUCGCCUGUGACGAAGCGUGAGUGACGGUAAUGGGUAAAGAAGCACCGGCUAACUACGUG
rnacentral:rRNA from 1 species